AUCUUUUACUCCAGCAUCAUAAUUUCCUCCAUACCAGGAAGAUAGGAAAAUGUAUACUAUAUAUCAAGAGAGUAGAUUUUAAAGGAUGUGGAAAGGUACUUAAGAUCCUGUUUACUACUUUUCUGUAGAGAAUGUCGGCCCAGGAGAAAUGGAUGGUAUUGACAAAGAAAUUCUGAAGAUACAAAGAAAAAUAAUUUCAAUGAGAAGGAAAAUGGUAGAUUGUCUAGAAACCAAUAUUGACAUGUAGAGAACUCACCAAACAACUUGAAUUUUAAGAAGACACGUACGGAAAGUGGAAGCAAAGACAGGCAAUUGGGGUUAAAUGACUUGCCCAGGGUCACACAGCUAGAGAACAUGAAACCUCAAGCAAAGUUGGCUUUAACCAGCUCUCCUCACAGACACCCCUGGGGAGACGGGACAGCUUCACCAUCAACGGCUCCUUCUCCUCUGAAGUCCCCUUCCUUGCUCCAGCCCCUCUCCACUCUGCUUCCCCCCCCCCCCCCCCCCGCCACCCCUUCCUCAUUCUGGGAAAGUCCCCAAAGGGAGGGAUGUUUGCUCUGCGUCACUACCCAGCACUCGCCACCAGAGGUCGCCCCGCAACACAUCCCUAAGCAAACAUCCCGGCUUCUCUUUCCAAGCUGAGCGGUGUGACAUUAUUUUCUUUCUCUAUUUUUAUCUAUUAAAAAGAUUUCUCCACAGCCAUAACUUAGAUCCCCCACACUAAAAUGGAGCAACAGGAAGAUAUAAUGGUGCAUUUCAUUUAUGAAUGACCUAUAAUAAAUUACUCUGAAGUGUCCCGAGUGCCAAGAGACGGAACGCUUUGUCUGCUGGUGCCCCGUAUUUCACAUACUUUAAUUUAGCUGACACAUAAAACCCAUCUGACAUUU